AUUGAACGCUGGCGGCAUGCCUAACACAUGCAAGUCGAGCGAGCGGCGGACGGGUGAGUAGUGUCUGGGAAACUGCCGGAUGGAGGGGGAUAACUACUGGAAACGGUAGCUAAUGCCGCAUACAUUCAGAUGUGCCCAGAUGGGAUUAGCUAGUUGGUGGGGUAACGGCUCACCUAGGCGACGAUCCCUAGCUGGUCUGAGAGGAGGAACAGGCACACUGGAACUGAGACACGGUCCAGACGCCUACGGGAGGCAGCAGUGGGGAAUAUUGGACAAUGGGCGAAAGCCUGAUCCAGCCAUGCCGCGUGUGUGAAGAAGGUCUUCGGAUUGUAAAGCACUUUAAGUUGGGAGGCGUUACCAACAGAAGAAGCACCGGCUAACUUCGUGCCAGCCGCCGCGGUAAUUC
rnacentral:rRNA from 1 species